UUUGAUCAUGGCUCAGAUUGAACGCUGGCGGCAGGCCUAACACAUGCAAGUCGAGCGGCAGCACAGAGAAACUUGUUUCUCGGGUGGCGAGCGGCGGACGGGUGAGUAAUGCCUGGGAAAUUGCCCUGAUGUGGGGGAUAACCAUUGGAAACGAUGGCUAAUACCGCAUGAUAGCUUCGGCUCAAAGAGGGGGACCUUCGGGCCUCUCGCGUCAGGAUAUGCCCAGGUGGGAUUAGCUAGUUGGUGAGGUAAGGGCUCACCAAGGCGACGAUCCCUAGCUGGUCUGAGAGGAUGAUCAGCCACACUGGAACUGAGACACGGUCCAGACUCCUACGGGAGGCAGCAGUGGGGAAUAUUGCACAAUGGGCGCAAGCCUGAUGCAGCCAUGCCGCGUGUGUGAAGAAG
rnacentral:rRNA from 1 species